UUUAUUUAUUUAUGUAUUUAUGUAUGUAUGUAUUUAUUUAUUUAUUUAUUUAUUAUUAUUAUUAUUAACUUCAGCCUAUGCAAAGUACAAAGUUAUUGACUAACCUGGUACUUUCUCUCUUACAUGUAACCAAGUGCCAUUGAGAAGGGACUACUAAGAGGUUCCAUUGUGUUUUGAUAAACAUCUUGUCUCAAGAACCAGCAUAACUUGAAAUUCAUGGAUACUGGGGAGUCUUAGCUGGGACCACUGAGAUGCAGCCAGGCAGCACAGCAUCUCAGCUGAGAGUGCAGCUCCUCCUUGGACAUCUCUGCUCACCUCAUGUGUUCAUCCUUGUGCAGACAUGCAGCUGCCAGGUAUUGGAGGGCACAGCCCUGGAGCAG
rnacentral:lncRNA from 1 species